rnacentral:lncRNA from 1 species
AUCCUAUCACUGGGGCUGAAGAGCCCUAUUUCCCAGAGACUCAACGACUGAGUCGUACUCUAACUGGUAACAUGGUCACCAUUCUAAUGGUUAGUCAAUGGAUUUCCAUCUCACAACUGUUGAGAUUCAAAAUCAUUAUCAUCAUGAUUAAAUUGUAUUCCUUGUGCUUGCAGAUUGCCAUCGUUUUGAUAUUCCUAUUAGCCAUUAUCCUGUAUCGAACCAUCCUAAGCAUCAUUAUCUACAGAUCACAGAAUGCCUUCUUCAUAUUUUCAGCUUUCCUGAUUGCCUUCACGUCUGAUUUCCUGCCGCGGCUCUUUUAUCGCUACACUAGGCAGCAUGAGAGGAUACGUCAACUUCACCCUCUCAGCGGCCCCUGCAAACUUCACCCAAAGACACAUGACAUGCAGGUGAAGAUCAAACUGUUUCUAUAAUGCGGUACUGUUCCAUAGUUUGAAGUUGGUAAGA